GCAGUAGGCUGUUUCAUCGUGCCGACAUUUCUUGUUGGUAAGGAAAGUCCGGGCAACAAAGAGCGCCAAACUCUCGAAAUGAGAGAUAUCCGUGAGGGUAUAGUAACAGAGAAGAAAAUAACUACCUUAGGGUAAAGGUGAGAAGGUGAGGUAAGAGCUCACCAGUUUUGGUAGCAAUAUCAAAUGCUGUCUGUCUUUUGGGUUGCAAGACCAUGUAUACCAGCAAUUAAGAACUGCUCGUUCGAUGUUGGGGGGUAGGUUGCUUAGAUAAAUGAUGGAAUUCCGUCUCGAUAUUUAUCGGGAUAGGAAACAAAACCCGGCUUAUAGGCCUGCUGCUCUU
rnacentral:RNase_P_RNA from 1 species